CCCCUAGAUGUUCUGGGCCGCACGCGCGCUACACUGAACAGUUCUACAAGUCUUAACCUUGGCCGAUAGGUCUGGGUAAUCUUUGAACGCUGUUCGUGAUUGGGAUAGACCUUUGCAAUUAUGGGUCUUCAACGAGGAAUUCCUAGUAAACGCAAGUCAUCAGCUUGCAUUGAUUACGUCCCUGCCCUUUGUACACACCGCCCGUCGCACCUACCGAUUGAAUGGUCCGGUGAAAUCUCGGGACGGCGGCUUGGUCGCUUGCGUCCGACUGCUGAAACUUGAUUAAACCAUAUCAUUUAGAGGAAGGUGANGUCGUAACA
rnacentral:rRNA from 1 species